rnacentral:rRNA from 1 species
AGGGAAUAUUGCAAAAUGGGCGAAAGCCCGAUGCAGCAACGCCGCGUGGGCGAUGAAGGCCUUCGGGUCGUAAAGCCCUUUUUGAGGGGCUGAGGAAGGACAGUACCCUCAGAAUAAGCCUCGGCUAACUACGUGCCAGCAGCCGCGGUAAAACGUAGGAGGCGAGCGUUAUCCGGAUUUACUGGGCGUAAAGCGCGUGCAGGCGGAUUGGAGAGUUGGAUGUGAAAGCUCCCGGCUUAACUGGGAGAGGUCGUUCAAUACUUCCAGUCUUGAGUGGAGUAGAGGGAAAUGGAAUUCCGGGUUUAGUGGUGAAAUGCGUAGAUAUCCGGAGGAACACCAGGGGCGAAAGCGGCUUCCUGGACGGUAACUGACGCUCAGGCGCGAAAGCUAG